rnacentral:ncRNA from 1 species
AGGGCGGCACAGAUUUUUCACCGUUUCCUCUGUUAAGAACGGCCGAAGGAGAACGGUGUCAGGCCGUUCACGCUCU